AAUAUUGAUGCAGCGAUGCCGCGUGAGUGAAGAAGGCCCUUGGGUUGUAAUUCUCUUUCGUCGGGGAAGCAAAAUGACUGUNCCCGAAUAAGAAGGUCCGGCUAACUUCGUGCCAGCAGCCGCGGUAAUACCAAGGGNCCUAGCGUAGUUCGGAAUUACUGGGCUUAAAGAGUUCGUAGGUGGUUGAAAAAGUUGGUGGUGAAAUCCCAGAGCUUAACUCUGGAACUGCCAUCAAAACUUUUCAGCUAGAGUUUGAUAGAGGAAAGCAGAAUUUCUAGUGUAGAGGUGAAAUUCGUAGAUAUUAGAAAGAAUACCAAUUGCGAAGGCAGCUUUCUGGAUCAUUACUGACACUGAGGAACGAAAGCAUGGGUAGCGAAGAGGAUUAGAUACCCUCGGUAGUCCAUGCCCGUAAACGAUGUGUGUUAGACGUUGGAAAUUUAUUUUCAGUGUCGCAGCGAAAGCGAUAAACACACCGCCUGGGGAGUACGACCGCAAGGUUAAAACUCACAGGAAUUGACGGG
rnacentral:rRNA from 1 species